rnacentral:rRNA from 1 species
CUGCGGCUCAAUUGGAGUCAACGCCUGGAAUCUUACCGGGGGAGACCGCAGUAUGACGGCCAGCUUACGACCUUGCCUGACUCGCGGAGAGGAGGUGCAUGGCCGUCGCCAGCUCGUGUUGUGAAAUGUCCUGUUAAGUCAGGCAACGAGCGAGACCCCCACUCCUAGUUGGUAUUACGGUCUCCGGACCGUGACCACACUAGGAGGACUGCCGCCGUAAGGCGGAGGAAGGAGGGGGCCACGGCAGGUCAGCAUGCCCCGAAACUCCCGGGCCGCACGCGGGUUACAAUGGCAGGGACAACGGGAAGCUACCUCGAAAGGGGGAGCCAAUCCCUAAACCUGCCGCAGUUGGGAUCGAGGGCUGAAACCCGCCCUCGUGAACGAGGAUCCCUAUAACCGCGGGUCAACAAC